rnacentral:lncRNA from 1 species
GGAGCGUCUCCAAGAGUCAACGACAAUACCUGUUCUGCCGAAGACCCUGAGAGAGCAGAGCCCAGGGCCUGCAGCAACCUCAGUGCAGGAAGAGCAGAAGAGAAGACACACCCACCCAGAAGAGAGGAUGGUGCAGAGCGCACAUGCCAGCCUGGCCCUGUCAGCAGUGCUGAAGGAAAAGAAGGAAAAGGAGAGGCAGCUGGGCACCCGUGGCCUGCCCCUCAGCUGGAGGAAAGGUCUGAGCCCAAGGGUACUGAAGAAGACUCCAGGGACCUGGAGCCUGGACAGGGACAGCCCAGUGCCACAGAGACCUCGCUGGAUCAACAGACUGAACCACCGACAUCUACCCUACUGGAGACAGAAGGGCCCCACCAGGCCCAGACCAAAGAUCCUGCGGACCCAGGCAGAAGGCUGCAAGGCUGGUGA